CUCAGAUAAGUUGUCUUUCUUGAAAUUUUGACCUAUCAGACAAUCUUUAGGACCUGUCAAUGUAUUGAUCCUGAUUCAUGCCUUUGUAGCAUUCUUGUUGUCAGUUAUAGUCUAGCAGAAUUAGGUUAGUCCAUAAUUAUGGUUUAUUAUUUAGUAGGUCAUUCUUAUAAUAAUGAAAAACUUAGGUUCCUUUAAACCCCCUCUUAUUCCAGGGACAUCAACUAACAAGGCCUUCAUUAAAUCUUAUAUAUGGUUGAUAUUUGUCUUCUCAGAUGAAGAUGUUACAUUGAUUAUGAUCACUGUGAUAUCAGACCAUGGGAACUAAAAUAAGUUGAUUUUGAAAAGAAUAUAUGGACCAUUUCUUUUCAGCUUUUAUAAUCUUUGGUUCACUUAUCAAGUAAUACAAAGUGAAAUAUCUCAACUAUUUCAUAUUUGAGUUUCGGUCGUUACAUAUACAAUCCUCCAGAUGAAUACUUUUUUUGUCUUCAUAAAAUGUAAUUCUAUUUUUUUUUUGUGGAUAAAAAAUCAGCUUGUUUUAUUUUAAUCAUUUGUUUGGAUGCUAAUCUAACUUAUUAAUGAAUAUUUAUUUUAUCUUCAUUCAACUGUUUUCCAAUGGGUUAUAGUCUGGUUUCUGACCUUCAGAAACCUUAUUGUUAUUUUGUUAAACCUCUCAUUACCAAUGUAUUUCCUAAAUAAUCGACAGUUGCAUAUUUCUCAUUACAUACACACUAAUGCAAACAUGCCUAGGCAAUGCUUGUAUCUGUCUUAUUGAAACAACCAACUUGAGUGUUGAUAUUAGUAAUUCUUGACAGCACAUAAUGCAUGUGAAUCAAAGUUGAUUUGAAAUGAAGGAAGUCCUUUAUUCUCUUUUUAUUCUUUGUUUUUUUUGGAAUGACAUGUAGAAACUAAAACGUAGAGAGAGCUUCAACUGUGACUCAAACUUUAUUUGCUUCUAAAUAUACUGCUGUGUUUGUCGCCACCGCAUUGUGGUUCACUUUGAAACCUAGCUAGCCGUUCGUUCAAUAGAUUAUGUGGUGAGAAGUAUAUCACAAGGUACUAUACUGCCUAAGCCACCUUGAAUUCUUUACAUAAGCAGAUGGCUGUCACACCUCACCCACCUGUCAUCUUAUGAUUUUAAGUUGCUUAGGCUAACUUUGACAUUAAAUAUGUAAUAGUUUCGUACUGAAAUAAUGUUGUUAACCUGGCAGCACAUUCAAUAGAUAUUGGCAAGAAGUACUCUACUGCAGAAAACAUAUACUUAUUUUAAUUGAUUAGCAGGAGAGAGAGAUAUAUGUGAAUCCAAAUUGGGUGGCCAUGAUUGUUGUUGUGACAUCCUACUGAGCUGUAAAAAUGAGUAGUUGAUGUCAGAAACACAGUUUCUGUGUGCUGCUGCAGGCUAAGAGUUGUUAUUUCAAAGAAAGGCAUGAGUUUGAUCUCCCCAUUUGCAAAAGCUAAGAUUUGUUUAUUCUCUUCAAGCUAAAGGAGGGGGAAUAUAUUGCAACACUCUUAGUAUAUUGAAAAGAGGAUGAUCAAAGCAUUGAGGUUAUGUCCAUUGCUCCAAGUGGGGAGGGGAACAUGGACACCAUGGUGCAGAAUGCAGUGUGCAGCUUCCAGUCUCUGUCUGGAUUCCCUGGCAUGAACAGAAGAACUCGAUCUCUCCACCGAAACCAGAACUUCUUUGUUCUCGAAGGGCCGGGGACUAGCUCUUUCCUUCAUAGGUCCAUGUGAUCUCAAUAGAUGGACCUCAUUUAAAACUACAGAGCUUUAUUGUCCAACCAAAGGAACAACAACAUGCACUUUGAGAAAGUGAAGAUACUCUCUGUGGCUGCAAUGAGGUUGUCCAGGGGACUGCAGGAAGAAACACCCUCAUGGAAUCUCAGUAGAUAUCACAUGAGGCCCUAGAGCUGGCAUGCAUGGUGCCCCCAUGAGACUUGUAUGAUUCACAAGGAAAUGGUCACACCUGGGUGUAAAGUGAGGCUUUAAUGACACCACCUCCUCAGAUCCUCUCUCCUCUCAGCAACUUAUAUUGCCCAGGGACUCGAUCUGUCAAAGUUGUGUAGGACAAUCAUGAAUUGUUGUGCUAACUUUCUAGGUCACUGAUUUAAUGCUGUAGGAUACUGUUCCAAUGGUGCAAGGAUCUUAAUUGCUAAGAGCAAUUACAGAGAAGGAGGCAGCGUCGGACGUCGCAGAAAUCUAAUGGAGGAGGGUAAAGGAUCCACCAUGAGGUGGCACACGAAAAUGGCCUUCGAUAUAGAAUGAGUUUUCGGCAAAGCUUCGCUGCUUCUGGAGUUCGUGGAUCAGCAUGCUCGAGUGGAAGAAGCACUUGGGAGUUCUUCUAUCCUUCAACAUGCCCAUAAUGUAGUCUUAUCAAGAAGCAUGGUGGCGUACGUACAAAGGGUUCUUUCACCCCGCCACCUUUUCUUUCUUUUCCAUCUUAUCUUCUUCUUGUCCUCCAAUCCGAACUCGAAGCUUUGGUCUUCACCACCCCAUGAUGUGGUUGCAGAAUAACGCGUGGUGUUUGGCUUUACUACCAUAAAA